rnacentral:lncRNA from 10 species
CCCCAAACAUAUCUUACAGUCUAAUCAACCCAGAUUAUUCCUUAGUCCUCAUAUUGGCUCUAUUUGACCUUAUGCCCUCCAUCUAGAAAGUCUUUCCCCCUGUGUAGAAAUCCUUCCUGUACUUCAAAAUCCUAUCCCUGCAGUUUGCAACCCUUCAAAAUGCCAUCUUUUGCAUGAAGCCUUUUUUCAUCAAUCCAACAGGAAGUAUCUGUCCUCCUUCUGAAUUAUGAAAGCACCUUAAUACCUGUUUUGUGGUACCUAUUUCACUUUGUAUUUUAAGAUCCAGACAGCCAGACUACCAUGUAAUUCAAGAUCUUUACAAGUUGAACUCCCUAUCUGCUUCAUCAUCAGCUGGGCAAACCUCCCAUGUGCUCCAGCCACAUGCGGCAGGUACAUUUUCCUAGUUCCUGGAGUGCUUUCUCCACCCCUUUCGAUGGGGAGAAAACCUGAGUAUACUUUUUUUUUUUUUUUUAAAGAUUUUUAACAUUAUUUGGAUUCUUAGUUUGUGGGAAAAGAGUAAGAUAGACACAUCUAGAUUGUUAUAUAGCUCAGGCUUUUUAAGGGGGAUAUUUAAACAUACAGUAUAUAACUUUAAAAUGCCCAGGUGUGGGGAGAUUUGCCUUAUCACUCAAAAAAAGGGUCAAGAGUAAUCAUUCCAAGUUUAGGUUGAAGUGGGUAAGAUUACAGCCAGAGAUUAAAAGCUCACACAUCCAUAAGCAAGGUCCCAGUCAGGCAUCUGGAAGGGCAAAGGGAUGGCUCUGUGCUGGCUGAGUAAAAGGCGCUUUCAUGGAGGGAUAAAUACCCACCCUAAGUAUACUUUUUAAACUUUACUCAAGGCCGGGAGCGGUGGCUUUGGCCUGUAAUCCCAGCACUUUGGGAGGCCGAGGCGGGUGGAUCACGAGGUCAGGAGUUCAAGACCAGCCUGGCCAACAUGGUGAAACCCCAUCUCUACUAAAAACGCAAAAAUUAGCCGGGCGUGGUGGUGUGCGCCUGUAAUCCCAGCUACUUGGGAGGCUGAGGCUGAGAACUGCUUGAACCCGGGAGGCGGCGGUUGCAGUGAGCCGAGAUAGCGCCACUGGACUCCAACCUGGGAGGCAGAGCGAGACUCCCGUCUCAAAAAAAAAAAAAAAACAAAACAAAAAUAAACUUUACUCAAAUAUCACUUUCUGUUAAAUGUCCUUAAUUCCUUCAAUCAUCCCCCUCUUCUAACUCUCACAGCACUUUCUUCCACUACGGCACGCAUCACACGCCAACUACUCACCAGUUCACGUUUUCCGCCCUCUCUCCCACUUGCCCAAUCACAGAGUUCCUAAAGAACCAGGACUAUGUUCUACUAGUCUUUGUAGCCACUGCACUCGGAAUGGUGCCUAGUACAUAGGAAUGAGCGUUUAAUUCAUUGAAUGAGCGACUCUUCCUACUAAACCCUAAGCUCCUAGAUUAUAAAAGCAUCAACACAAGUUAUAAAUCCGACUUACCUCCAACAUUUCACGUAGGUAAAGACCAUACCUCAAGCACCUCCAAGCCCUCAUUUCCCCAGCCUCUACCUCAUGGCCCUCUGCACAGCCAUCUGCGCACAACCAGUGCUUACACACAGGAGGCCCUCAAAAUAAUACUAAUAAUCUAAGGUCCAAAUCCCACGAACUCCCGGGAAGACUGAGAGUGAGGAGGAUGGAGGUAGCCAAGCUCUCCAGAUUUCUGUCCCGGGCCAAAGGUGCUUCCAGCUUCCCUCUCCUUUGCUUCUCCGCCCGGCUCAGGUCUUACAGCCUAGCGCGGCUCUCG